UGGGGAAUAUUGGACAAUGGGCGCAAGCCUGAUCCAGCCAUGCCGCGUGAGUGAUGACGGCCUUAGGGUUGUAAAGCUCUUUCGCACGCGACGAUAAUGACGGUAGCGUGAGAAGAAGCCCCGGCUAACUUCGUGCCAGCAGCCGCGGUAAUACGAAGGGGGCUAGCGUUGUUCGGAUUAACUGGGCGUAAAGGGUGCGUAGGCGGGUUUUUAAGUCAGGGGUGAAAUCCCGAGGCUCAACCUCGGAACUGCCUUUGAUACUGGAAAUCUUGAGUCUGGGAGAGGUGAGUGGAACUGCGAGUGUAGAGGUGAAAUUCGUAGAUAUUCGCAAGAACACCGGUGGCGAAGGCGGCUCACUGGCCCGGAACUGACGCUGAGGCACGAAAGCGUGGGGAGCAAACAGGAUUAGAUACCCUGGUAGUCCACGCCUUAAACGAUGGAUGCUAGCCGUUGGCCAGCUUGCUGGUCAGUGCGCGUUAACACUUUAAGCAUCCCGCCUGGGGAGUACGGUCGC
rnacentral:rRNA from 1 species